UACGAAGGGUGCAAGCGUUACUCGGAAUUACUGGGCGUAAAGGGUGCGUAGGCGGGUUUUUAAGUCAGGGGUGAAAUCCUGGAGCUCAACUCCAGAACUGCCUUUGAUACUGAAGAUCUCGAGUCCGGGAGAGGUGAGUGGAACUGCGAGUGUAGAGGUGAAAUUCGUAGAUAUUCGCAAGAACACCAGUGGCGAAGGCGGCUCACUGGCCCGGUACUGACGCUGAGGCACGAAAGCGUGGGGAGCAAACAGG
rnacentral:rRNA from 1 species